UGGGGCCUCGUGGACAUCCUUGGUCCCUGGGGGUUCGGCCCUGGAGAACCGUAGAGCACACCCUUCUCUUUUCCUUUUGCCUCCAGACAACGAGGGGAUGGUUUUGCUCUGCACACGCUCCGGCAAUGAUGUGCUGCUUCCUACAGGCCCAGGGCAAGUCGGCCAACUGACGGUGAUGUGGAACCGCCAAACCGUGUCCAGUGGAUACUGAAGAUACUACCCUGCAUCUUAGAGAUGAUCGUGAGGUGUGUGGAUGACGUCUUCACUGUCCAAAGAGGUUAAGAAGUGAAGCUAUAUUGUAUUAUGCAUAGACAUUUGGGGUUCUGAUAACUGAUCGUAUCAACUUGAAUAAGAAACACCCAACUAAGUUGGCUGAGCACAGUUUUAGGAGUGAAGACCCACCCUCAGGAGGACGGUCACCAGAUGGUAUAAAAGGGAAACGAAGCAGGAAGGGUCACUUCUGCUCCUUCGGAGGUGCUCCAGUCUUCAUCUUCACCCGAAACACUGUAACCUGACUUCCAUCUCAGAUCCAUCAGCCUCCUGAUAUCGACUUGCACGGGGAGACCACACUAAACUCUGGGCCUCUGACUGGAUCCUUCAGAUCUACAGCAUACAAAGAGACCUUCUGCACUCUUCCACACCUGACUGUGUGGGCAGCCACUGUAAGGCUAUCUUAUAAAUUCUUGUAUAAUUGUGCAUCUUGCAAUA